AUGGAGCGUCUAGCCCAGUUCAUGCAAAAGAAAAUGUAAAAUUUCAAGCCAGAAGGAAUACUUGGAAUCAAUGUUGGCGGUAAAUAUUCAUGAAAAAGGAGAAGUUUGUGAACGGGCAAUACCGAUUUUGAUAAUAAACAACUAAACAUGUUACACACUAGACCUUUAAUUAAAAAACAAAACUUU